CCCGGAGGAGCGGCCGGAGCCGCGGGGCGGUGCCUGUGGAAUCACCUCAGCAGCGCGGCCGGGCUCGGCCUCUCUCUGUCCCUGCCGCCGUGAGGGGAAAGGGUGGCUCUGGUGCGGUAUGGACCUUCUCUGCCAUUGUUGCCGUGAGGGGAAGGAGCGGCUCUGCUCGGCCAUGGCCUCUCUGCCAUUGCUGCCGUGAGGGGAAGGAGCGGCUCUGCUCGGCCAUGGCCUCUCUGCCAUUGCUGCCGUGAGGGGAAGGAGCGGCGCUGCGCGGGCCCGGGCCGCCAUGAGGGGCCGCCGCCGCCAUGAGGCCUUCAGCCAUGUGGGGGAUUGCGGUGACCCGGAGCUGUGAGUGGUCGGGAGCAGCCCUGUCGUGUGUGAAACCCUUGAGCUGAGCUGAGCUGGGACAGCCGAGGAGCCUCUCCAGGAGGGCACUGGAGCCUGCAGAGCGGAGAUGUGAAUGGAUAACGUGCCCGUGAGGCACAAGGAGAGCUCUGGAGCAACGUGGGUGAGGUAAAUUGUUGGUACGGGGCUUGCUGGAGCAGCAGGAGUGGUCAGAAGAAAAGCUGUUGAUGCUGCUUUGAAAGGUGUUGAGAAGAUGGAAAUCUGAAGAAGAGAAGAAUUUGUUAUCAGGAUAUGGAUGUAGGAAUGGGAAACAUCAAAGGGGGUUUGGGGCAAGGUAUAACAAGAAUUAUGUGCACAAUUUACUGUUAAUCUCCUCUCACUGCUUGUUUACAAUAUGUUUUUAUAUGACCUCAAUUAAACUUUAUUUAUAUUAAA